UACGAAGGGGGCUAGCGUUGCUCGGAAUUACUGGGCGUAAAGGGCGCGUAGGCGGAUAUUUAAGUUAGAGGUGAAAGCCCAGGGCUCAACCCUGGAACAGCCUUUAAUACUGGAUAUCUUGAGUUCGGGAGAGGUGAGUGGAACUCCGAGUGUAGAGGUGAAAUUCGUAGAUAUUCGGAAGAACACCAGUGGCGAAGGCGACUCACUGGCCCGAUACUGACGCUGAGGCGCGAAAGCGUGGGGAGCAAACAGG
rnacentral:rRNA from 2 species